UGGAGUAAGUUGAGCGAGGGCCGGGAAGAGGGGGGUGAGCACACACACACUGUGUGUUGUGUGUGCUUGCCGCUGCUGCCGCCCGUCAUCAUCGUCCGUAUGCCACUUUUUUGUCCGCCCACCAUAGAGAGCUGGCUGGACGCCUCGGGCUCGUCGACGUUCUUUUCGCCCUGUCGGGCACGCACGGCGCUAGCGCGCGCGUGUGUCUCCCUGCGAGGAGAACGUCUCCGAGGCGCCGGGAGGCUUUGACCGUGUGCUCGUGUGGUUGGACAGUUCAGUACCGAGCAUAAGUAUGAAUGCGCUCACGAACGCUGUGCUCAGUUUGUGCGCGAACACGUACUUUUUGCACCAGACCGAACGAAGGAACGUAAUUGCAACAUCCAUCCUAUAGGCGCUUCCGCCAACAACCUUCACUUCCGUUUGUACCGAAGGAGCCGUGCAUCGCCGGGAUCUAAGAGCCUACGCACACGGCGGCGUCCGCCCUGCGUUCUGCAACCUGCCAAUGUGCUUAAGUGCGCGUCGGUGCAGCCACUAUAUGCAGAAAGUGCAGUUUGCCGCUGUAAAAUGCGUGCGUACUGUGCAAUACUCCGUCGUCUGCGACGCAUGCUCGGAUAACUACACACGCGCGACCUUCCAAACUGAAAGGAAAUACUUCGUGACCUGCACCGAGGAUUCCUUCCUCCUGUGGUGAUGGACGACUCACUACACCUGCACAACCAGCAUGACAGUGGCGCCUCCAAUAUACCGUGAGUCGCUUUUGCGAUAGCAGCGCCCUCAAAAGAGGUACUCAUCAACCAAAUCUAGCGUUAUGGCGGACUUGGCGACCACCAUUUAGUGACAAGGCAAGAUUUGGUGAGUAUUC
rnacentral:lncRNA from 1 species